AGCUUCAUGGCGCAGUGGAAGCGCACCAGGUUCGUAACCGAAAUUACCUGGAGGUCCUCUGAUCAAAACAGGGUGAAGCUA